CCAGCCUGGCAGGCUCACGCCUCCCAACACUUCCCCUGAGAGACGGACGCCGCUGAAAGGGUUUGCAAUCCAAUACGGCAGCUGCACACCAAAGCCAGCGGUUAUCAUUGAGAGCGCAGGGCCGUCUAAGCCUUCCCCCCUUUCCCCAACCGUUGGGUAUACAGGAUAUUAGCUGGAACCUCUCAUAUCACCUUUGCCGCAAUGGCUAAUAAUACAGCAGGCUGGAAAUCAAUGAACCUGCCCUAGAUUUCAGCUCGCCGCUCUCCAUAAAGGGAUCUGGAGGGCAGCGGGGUUUUCGUUUUCUCCCCGUUUCUCUCUUUUCUCUUAUUAUAGGGGAAGAAAAAUGGGUGACCGGGACUCGGAGAUCAUUUCUCCCGCUCUGAAAGUGCUAGCCGCUCUCUCCAGGGAGUUGCAGGUUAUGUAACGGAGGAGCGGUCGUCAUGGCAACCCCUCCACUCCGGUGCCCCGGUGGAUGGUUUGAUGAGCUGCCAGCAGUAGGGUCACAACUAAUGGCAUUCCAGCUGUCUGCCAUCAGCUAUCUGCACCCCACGUCUUCCAUCAGCACUGAUCCAGGACCAGACUGCAAAUUCCAAACCCCUUAACAAGAUCAUACUCCUAGAUGGAACAAAAUUCUGCUCUCAGAUCAACAUGCUCUCCUGAUUUGACCAAAAUAAGAGGCUGUUAGAGAUUCGACUGAAGGAAGCCCCCGCCUCCACCGGGGAUUUACCCAGAUGCUUAUUAAAGAGUUUGAAGAAAGCAAAGGCAGGAAAUACCCGUAGGAAAUCAAAAAGAAGGAAUUCAACCAUGUCACUUAAAGAGGCAUGUCAAGGACAUCACGUCUGCAUCUAAUGCGGAGCAUGGAGGUGCACGACAACAUCAGUGAUCAAAGGUUUUCAUUAAGGCAGUGAUGACAAAGGAGCACAGGCACAG